UAGAGUUGCAGAAAUUUAUCAAACAAAUUGCAAAUUUGGUCUUCAAUUAAGAACAAUGAUUGAUAACGAAGUCGUUGAAUUAACUUCUGAAACAAAGAUGGAGCAUAUGACAUCAUCCAAGGCUUAUUUGGAGACUCGUUGUGCAGUGCGCAAGUUUUGUAAUGUUGUGGAAAAAUUUGAUGAUGCC